rnacentral:lncRNA from 1 species
CCCACCAGGCACCUGUUGCUCUACCCCAUCCCUGUGCAAGUAGAUUUCCUUUACUGUUUCAGCAUGUGCCAUAAUGUUUGGACAUGGAUUUCUAUAUUGAUUUAGACUCCUAAACAACAAUUGGCCGAGUGUGAUAGGGGAAAAGCUAAAAGGCCAAUCAUAUGCAGCAAGAGAAGGGAUCACAAUCAUGCAAUCGACGCAAAGGUGAAAAAAAAAUAUCUUUUAACCAAGCACGCAACUAUGUACUUACCCUUACGGGUUAGUGUCUCGGUAUGGAAGGAUAACGGUAUAGGAUGUCCUGAAACCAAAGAUGGCUUAAACAAGUGAUGACAGUCAGUCUACUUGGUUGAAUACCUAAACGUACCAGAAGCAUUCAGACAUUGCCGUGCAGCCCAAAAAUGCUAUUACAUGUAGGCUAUGAAUGGUCCCUGUUUGAGUGGGGUCCAAGGUCAUCACGCCUUCACCUUUCUUAGGUGCUGCAUCUACUUCAAAAAGCAGGGCUUUAAAACAUCUGUCAGAUCAAGAAUACAAACCAUCAAUUUAAUGAUAUUCAAUAGUUUCGCAAGGAUAGCAUGCCUAUUUUAAUAUGCGAAAUCUUAGUGAUGCAAAACAUAUGAAGGAGUCUCAACUUGACAAGCAAAGGGUACAAAGAUUCAUCUGUACAGUCAGCAACUCAGGAGUGCUAACUGCAGGGACAUGUGAAGCCUAUUAAUUUUGUGCUUUCCAUCCCAAGCUCAGAUCCUGAGGCAGGAGAACAUAACACCAAGAGAAAUAACAUCCUGGAGAAAAACAAAUAUCAAAGCUGCAUUAGUGUGUAAUGUGUAGAUUUAAAAAACAUUUGGAUUUAGUGAAAACCUGCAGGGACAUUCUGAGCUGACAAAGAUAAUCAUCCAAGGGAAGAUUCCUGCCAACUCCCUUUUUGCAGAUUAGGCUUAGGUCAUUCACAAAGCAAUCACAUCACCUUUCUUCAGAACAAGUGCAGAGUUCACAUGGAACAACAAGAAGAAGCAUGUGCAUUCUUGUCCUAGGCAGCCUUCACCCUUUGAGAACUCAGUCUCAGGCAGCAAUGCAAACCUCAUACUGGAAAUACCAUGAUACUGGAUUAUUUUGGAAUGCCUGCACAUGUCACAUGAGAUUAGACAACGGAAGCUUUUGCCUUUUCUUCUUAACUACCCAACCACAGAAGAGCUUGAGUGUUAGAGACAUCAUUUCCCUCGUACUGAUGUGACUAACAACACACGAUGCCAUGCUCCUAUGUUUUCGAUAUUUCACUAAUAUAGGAUGUUUUCGAUAUUUCAAUAUGGACUACAUACGGACUGGAAUGAGUGAACAAAUACACUAAAACAUGUCUAUAUACAUCUAAUUCACAAAAAAGUUAGAACAUCUUAUAUUUGUGAACCGAGGGAGUAGUUAUGUGCUGGUGUAACUUUGCUUCAGUAAAUUUGCUUGACUAAUUCGAAUUUUAGUUGUAGAUACAAACUCCCUGUCAUCAUAUCACCUUCACAAAGAAACUAGAUACGUCUUACAGAUAUAUUUGCAGCCCAGUCACUGGAUGGUAUUUUAUGGGGGAAACUAGACAGAAAAGUGGGUAAGGGAGAUGGAAAGCAUGUACGAUCAGAGCUAGCAACUAGCUCAAAUAUUAAAUUAAUCACAGAAAGUAGCAGUGUGCUCAUAGAUCACUGUUCAGCUGCCUUAGGCUUUUUUUUCUUUCAAAUCAACCUUUGACCAAGUGAAUAAAGGAUGCAUUGUGCCAAUGGUCAAGUAUAUAGACCUGUGUGACACAUGAAACAUCAUAUAAGUUCGCGAUAAAUAAAACAGUGACAUAUGCACUCAAAAGCAGAGCCGCUCAAUGAUCUGGUUACCUUAUUAAAUUACCUUGAUAGGACAAGCAAACAACAGACCUACGAUUCCAUAGCUAAUUAGUUUAAAAUGUCCAGGAAAAAGAAAUCAGUUUCAGGUAAACCAAGAUCGUCUAAAUAUGAAAACCAUAUGCAGUAGAACAUUCAACGUUACAGACUGCAGCAACUUGGAAACUGAAUUUUUUACCUGUAAUAUACGGUAGCAGGAAAAGAAAGGUUAAGAAUCAGCCGUAAGAUGAUUCUCGCAUCAUGGUUCAUGAAUCCUUUCCAU